rnacentral:tRNA from 1 species
AAGGCUUUAGCUUAAUUAAAGCGUCUGUUUUGCAAAUAGAAGAUGUGGGAUAAUAUCCUGUAAGUCUUA